AUUUAUGUAGUUUAUAAAACAUUUUAUUUUCAUUAAAAAAAAGGUAAAAUUAACCCUUAAAUG
rnacentral:tRNA from 1 species